GAACGACCAGAGUUCAGAUCCCCUGAACCACAAAUGCUGAGUGAGGGUGUGAAGGAGCAGCUCCAUUGUAAUGGAAACUGGAGAGACCUGAAGCAAGGUUACUCGUGAGACUGGGAAUCCACAAGGCCACGUGCUAUGCCCUGCUCAGAUGUCCCAUGAGAGUCUUUUCCUUUUCUCGAGCAGGAUCAGUGAACUCGCCUCCAGCUCUUUUGCUGCAGAAACGCAUGGAAAAUAUGAGUGGCUCCUGAAAGAAUUCUUUGGCAGAGAGCACAUCUUGUUUUCGGCCGACAUUCGUUCAUCGUCGUCACUACCUACAUCCCCCCC